rnacentral:rRNA from 1 species
AGGAUGAACGCUGGCGGCGUGCCUAAUACAUGCAAGUCGAGCGGCAGCGCAGGGUGCUUGCACCCUGGCGGCGAGCGGCGGACGGCUGAGUAACGCGUAGGAACGUACCCUAAAGUGAGGAAUAACUGCCCGAAAGGGUGGCUAAUGCCGCAUGUGCUCUUCGGAGUAAAGCUUCGGCGCUUUGGGAACGGCCUGCGUCCGAUUAGCUAGUUGGUAAGGUAAUGGCUUACCAAGGCUACGAUCGGUAGCUGGUCUGAGAGGAUGACCAGCCAGACUGGGACUGAGAACGGCCCAGACUCCUACGGGAGGCAGCAGUAGGGAAUUUUCCACAAUGGGCGAAAGCCUGAUGGAGCAACGCCGCGUGCAGGAUGAGGCCUUCGGGUCGUAACUGCUUUUCUCUGUGAGAUUAUGACGGUAACAGAAGAAUAAGGAUCUGCUAACUACGUGCCAGCAGCCGC